GUCUCAGUUCGGAUCGCAGGCUGCAACCCGCCUGCGUGAAGUCGGAAUCGCUAGUAAUCGCGGAUCAGCAUGCCGCGGUGAAUACGUUCCCGGGCCUUGUACACACCGCCCGUCACACCAUGAGAGUCGGGAACACCCGAAGCCCGUAGCCUAACUUGCAAGAGAGGGCGCGGUCGAAGGUGGGUUCGAUAAUUGGGGUGAAGUCGUAACAAGGUACC
rnacentral:rRNA from 1 species